rnacentral:rRNA from 1 species
CCAAUAGCGUAUAUUAAAGUUGUUGCAGUUAAAAAGCUCGUAGUUGAAUUUCGGAAUCUGUCCGUUGGUCGGGCUUCAUUGUCCGUACUGGUGUGAUGGGUUCUUACCUUCUGAAUAACCAGCAUGCCAUUCAUUUGGUGCGCUGGGGAAGCAGGACUAUUACCUUGAAAAAAUUAGAGUGCUCAAAGCAGGCUAGUGCCUGAAUACAUUAGCAUGGAAUAAUAAAAUAGGACGGCAUGGUUCUAUUUUGUUGGUUUCUAGGAUCACCGUAAUGAUUAAUAGGGAUAGUUGGGGGCAUUAGUAUUCAAUUGUCAGAGGUGAAAUUCUUGGAUUUAUUGAAGACUAACUUCUGCGAAAGCAUUUGCCAAGGAUGUUUUCAUUAAUCAAGAACGAAAGUUAGGGGAUCGAAGACGAUCAGAUACCGUCGUAGUCUUAACCAUAAACUAUGCCGACUAGGGAUCGGACGAUGUUAAUUUUUUAAUGACUCGUUCGGCGCCUUACG